GACGAACCGUCCUAACGUUGUUCGGAAUCACUGGGCUUAAAGGGCGCGUAGGCGGCUUGCCAAGUCAGGGGUGAAAUCCUGCAGCUUAACUGUAGAAGGGCCUUUGAUACUGGCGAGCUCGAGGGAGGUAGGGGUAUGUGGAACUUCCGGUGGAGCGGUGAAAUGCGUAGAUAUCGGAAGGAACAUCAGUGGCGAAGGCGACUUCCUGGACCAAUACUGACGCUCAGGUGCGAAAGCGUGGGGAGCAAACAGG
rnacentral:rRNA from 1 species